GACGAACGCUGGCGGCGUGCUUAACACAUGCAAGUCGAACGGAGUCUCAUAGACAGAAGCCUUCGGGUGGAAGACUUUGAGACUUAGUGGCGGACGGGUGAGUAACACGUGGGUAACCUGCCCCAUAAACCGGGACAACAGUUGGAAACGACUGCUAAUACCGGAUACUCUCGCGAGGAGGCAUCUCUUUGCGAGGAAAGGUGGCCUCUUUGCAAUGCUACCGAUAUGGGAUGGACCCGCGUCUGAUUAGCUAGUUGGUGGGGUAACGGCCUACCAAGGCGACGAUCAGUAGCCGGCCUGAGAGGGUGACCGGCCACAUUGGGACUGAGACACGGCCCAA
rnacentral:rRNA from 1 species